UACGUAGGUGGCAAGCGUUAUCCGGAUUUAUUGGGUGUAAAGGGCGUGUAGGCGGGAGCGCAAGUCAGAUGUGAAAACUCAGGGCUCAACCCUGAGCCUGCAUUUGAAACUGUGUUUCUUGAGUGCUGGAGAGGCAAUCGGAAUUCCGUGUGUAGCAGUGAAAUGCGUAGAUAUACGGAGGAACACCAGUGGCGAAGGCGGAUUGCUGGACAGUAACUGACGCUGAGGCGCGAAAGCGUGGGGAGCAAACAGG
rnacentral:rRNA from 1 species